AGAGUUUGAUCAUGGCUCAGGACGAACGCUGGCGGCGUGCUUAACACAUGCAAGUCGAACGGUGAACUCCGCUUGCGGGGGGAUCAGUGGCGAACGGGUGAGUAACACGUGGGCAACCUGCCCUCAGCUCUGGGAUAACUCCAAGAAAUUGGGGCUAAUACCGGAUAUGACUGCUGACCGCAUGGUCUGGUGGUGGAAAGAUUUAUCGGCUGAGGAUGGGCCCGCGGCCUAUCAGCUUGUUGGUGGGGUAGUGGCCUACCAAGGCGACGACGGGUAGCCGGCCUGAGAGGGUGACCGGCCACACUGGGACUGAGACACGGCCCAGACUCCUACGGGAGGCAGCAGUGGGGAAUAUUGCGCAAUGGGCGAAAGCCUGACGCAGCGACGCCGCGUGGGGGAUGACGGCCUUCGGGUUGUAAACCUCUUUCAGCAGGGACGAAGCGAAAGUGACGGUACCUGCAGAAGAAGCACCGGCCAACUACGUGCCAGCAGCCGCGGUAAUACGUAGGGUGCAAGCGUUGUCCGGAAUUAUUGGGCGUAAAGAGCUCGUAGGCGGUUUGUUGCGUCGGCUGUGAAAACCUGAGGCUCAACCUCAGGCCUGCAGUCGAUACGAGCAGACUAGAGUGUUGCAGGGGAGACUGGAAUUCCUGGUGUAGCGGUGAAAUGCGCAGAUAUCAGGAGGAACACCGGUGGCGAAGGCGGGUCUCUGGGCAACAACUGACGCUGAGGAGCGAAAGCGUGGGGAGCGAACAGGAUUAGAUACCCUAGUAGUCC
rnacentral:rRNA from 1 species